ACUUUUGUUUCAUCCAACCUCACAAUAGAAAAAAUAUCUGCACUAGAAAACAGUAAGAAUUCUGACCUAGAGAAGAGGGAGGGAAGAAUAGAUGAUUUAUUAAGAGCCAACUGUGAUUUGAGACGGCAGAUUGAUGAACAGCAAAAGAUGCUAGAGAAAUACAAGGAACAAUUAAAUAGAUGUGUGACAAUGAGCAAGAAACUCCUUAUAGAAAAG
rnacentral:lncRNA from 1 species